CCUGCUUCUUUCUUUGCGCCCUGUCAUCUCUUCCGGGUCGGAGGUCGUUUGGCCCGUCAGGUAUGUCCGCGUGCUGCUUUGUGUUUUGUUACUGCUCUUAAGGCGUCGUUGUUGUUCUUGUGUUGCAGGGCGACUGCUCGUGUGCGGCUCCGUUUGUUGGCUGAGGUAAACGCCGGUGGCUGCCAGGAGUCCUGUCCCUUUGUCCGCUCCUGCCUCCUGUUGUGUGAGGGUGUGUGUCCGCUAACAAGGUAGACUGCUGCUCCACCUCCACUGUCAUUGGUCCCAGCUGAGCCUGGUUGUGCAGCGGUGUCACCUGUUUGUCUGCGCG